GGGUUCUUAGCUCAGUCGGUAGAGCAACGGACUCUUAAUCCGGCGGUCCUGGGUUCGAUCCCCAGAGGACCCACCA
rnacentral:tRNA from 1 species